rnacentral:rRNA from 1 species
GAACGAGAAAGUGGAGCAAUCCAUGAGUAAAGUGGCGACCGGGUGAGUAACACGUGACUAACCUACCCUAGAGUGGGGGAUAACCUCGGGAAACCGGGGCUAAUACCGCAUAACAUCGCGAGGGGAAGCUCCUCGCGAUCAAAGGAGCAAUUCGCUCAAGGAGGGGGUCGCGGCUGAUUAGCUAGUUGGUGAGGUAACGGCUCACCAAGGCGAAGAUCAGUAGCCGGCCUGAGAGGGCGCACGGCCACACUGGAACUGAAACACGGUCCAGACUCCUACGGGAGGCAGCAGUGGGGAAUUUUGCGCAAUGGGGGAAACCCUGACGCAGCAACGCCGCGUGGAGGAUGAAGUCCCUUGGGAUGUAAACUCCUUUCGAUCGGGACGAUUAUGACGGUACCGGAAGAAGAAGCACCGGCUAACUCUGUG